rnacentral:rRNA from 1 species
AUUGAACGCUGGCGGCAGGCCUAACACAUGCAAGUCGAGCGGAGCGGCAGCCGGGUGCGUAAUGCCUAGGAAUCUGCCUGUUCGUGGGGGAUAACGUCCGGAAACGGGCGCUAAUUCCACAUACUCUCGGCUCAGCCUAGGUCGGAUUAGCUAGUUGGUGGGGUAAAGGCCUACCAAGGCGACGAUCCGUAACUGGUCUGAGAGGAUGAUCAGUCACACUGGAACUGAGACACGGUCCAGACUCCUACGGGAGGCAGCAGUGGGGAAUAUUGGACAAUGGGCGAAAGCCUGAUCCAGCCAUGCCGCGUGUGUGAAGAAGGUCUUCGGAUUGUAAAGCACUUUAAGUUGGGAGGCGUUACCAACAGAAUAAGCACCGGCUAACUUCGUGCCAGCAGCCGCGGUAAUAC